UAUAUAGAUCAUAGUAGUGAAGUAUGUUUGUGUUAUUCUCUGAACAUGUUUUGGGUAUCUAUCAAAAUUCAAAGUGGUCUUGAAUGUUCUUACGUAUCCUCCUAAAUGUACUGAGAAAUACAGCGCUGAAUCAAGAAGGGUUUUUUUGUGCAGGAAAUAUGACUACCAGUUGUGAAUUCCACCUUACUCACUGUUGCCCAAGACCUUGAAUGUUUAGUGUAGCCCUCUUUGUGUCCAUUCCCACCCAGUCUGGAUCUUAAUGUGACAGUGUACAGGAAAACGUGGUAUAGGGUCUGGGAGAUCAGCCCUUGAGAGCAGCCAAAGGAAAUACUUUCAGCUUGAGAAGGAAGUGCCAGGGAACUGGAUGCAAAGAGAGCUCUGCUCCUCCAUGCCCAUGCCUGACCCUGUUCUGAAUUCCUGACUCUUAUGACAAAGUUUUCCUCUCACCCUGUCCUAACUUCAUACUUGAUCAUCUCACAGGGAGACAAUGCUUUCCAGGCUCUUUCCAGGCUCAAGCUGAAAACUGAAAGCAACAGUCGGCAUAUCCAACAUAUCCAACAUGGUUCUGUAAACUCUUGGUCAAAAGGAUCAGACCUCAAGAGAAGUCCAGUUGACCUCACAAAUCCAUCAGGAUUAGUGAAGAGAUGAGUCUCACACUGUGGUCUGAAAACUGAGGAAGGGGAAUUUAUUCUGCUGCUGUCACUUCUAAGUGCCAAAAAUAGCAAUGGAUGCACGAACUGAAACAAAAAGCCUACAGAAAAUAAACACAUUCAUUGCCCUUACAGUGGCAGUUGAGGAAAGCAAGAAACCAGCCAAUCAAGAAACCUUUUUCUGACUUUGGAGUUGAAGUAGUUGUCAUAGUAGCUUUUGAGAAAUUACAAAUUUUGGAGGUCUUUAAGAGAGAUGGAUGGGUUUGAAAUAAACUGUAAAACCAUGUCAGGUCCCAGACUGAAAUAGGGCCAGCUAAAGGGACUGGGUGUGUGGGCCAGAUCAGCAACAGCACACCAGCACUGCACCCCCUCUUCAGGAGCACCCUGAGCACCAGUGGCCUGGACCUCCAAAGCCAGCAGCCCCUGGCUAGUCCUUGCCAGGCUAGCAUGGUACCAUCCUGAGAAGUACCUGGAGAAUCCAGCCAGGGAGACAGGAGACUGAGAGGGUCUGAGACUGGGAGCUUUGCCUUGCUGUAGUGCUUAAGUGAAAAUACCUGCUGAAUGCUAAGAAGACAGCAAUAUAUAUUGCUGAUAUAAUGUACUUGAAGGCAAUGAAUUCUUAGGAGAUCUAGGAGGCGUUGGCCAGUGCUUUGCAUUGGGAUUGCCAGGGCUUCCCUGUGUUGUGACAGUUCCUAAAAGGCCAAAAAGUUUUCAAGCUUUAACAAGAGAUUGUGACAACCAUGUCUUGGAACAGCUAUGAAUGUGUGCCCUCAUGUAUUCUCACUUCCAGUCAGGAGUGAAAAAGAUAGAGAGAACAUCAGUGUCUGACCUUCCCCCAUUCUCCAGCAGUUUCAGUGUAUAUUUGAUUUAACUGUAAGUGGCCAUUAACUCAGAGGAGUUAAAGGGGAUGAAAUUUGGACUUUCCUUAUUUUUUAAGGUACAAAGAUAAGAAAAAUCCUAAUUAGCAAUAUCUCUUGUUUGAGAUUUUUUUUAGCCAGGGAAAAUGCUCUUGUAUGGAUCAAGAAAGGCAUUGAAUUCUCUGUAAUCUCAUGAGAUACUAGUUUGCAAUUCAUAGGCUAUUGUACAGCUCUCUGUAUAUCAUAGAAACACAGUUAAGACAUCUGUGUCCUCAGUGAUUUAUUCACAGUUUUCUCACUUGAGCUGAAUCAGCUGUCCAUGACACUGAACUGGGAAGUGGAUUGCUGAGAUCAUCUUAGUUUUAAAAAAAACCACAAAACAAACAAACCAACAAAUAAGUCAAAACUGUGUUUUAUGUUGUUUUUCUGUGUGGUGGAGAUGGAACAAAUAGGGUUUGGCUUUGACAGCAAGGACUAGAGAGAAGGCAGGAAGUUUCACAGGCGAAGCAAAGGUAUGUAAAACUACCUGAAUUUGGAUCUUCCAUUGGCCCUUAAAGGGAGGCACUGGGGUGGAGGGGCAGGGAAGCAUGCAGCACAACAUAGUACCACAGUGCUGACUGCCUUUUUAAACUCACCUAAGCUCACUAUCUUGUCCAUAAGGGAUAUCAAACUCAGAAGUUUCAAAUCUACUUUAAUCACUAAAUAUGUCUAGUUAUACCACUCUGUGGUGUUUCCAAGGCACUGGGCUAGGAGAACAUUUGCUUUUCAUGUUAAUUUAUCAGAGAUAUUUGAAAGUUUGCGGUAGCUUUUGGAAAAGCAGAAGUCAAAGGAAUGAACUUUUCCUGCCAGCUGUAUCAGUUAUAAGCUGCUGAAAUGUAAGGAGGUGAACAUUUCAGGGCAGCUCAUUAUCAGUGCAGAAAUUCUGAUAGACUAGGCAAGGAGACACAGCAGUUUGAAAGCCAUCUCAUACUUUCUCUUGAAUGAUAACAGCCCCUCUGAAACUGAAAUUUCUGGAAACGCUUUGCUUCCACUCCUGCCUCCUUCUCCAUCAGCCUCCCCAAACCACUACCAAGGAUUAAAAGUGAUCUCCUUGUCAUGCUGACAAAAUAAAUGAACAUGACCCACUAUUUUCCAUAAUAACUAUUUGACAUUAAAGCAGUUGGCAAUUAAAGUAAUCCUCGCUCCCUGGUGACACAUGCAGUGUGACAAAACAGAAGUAACAUGGCAGCAGCAGAACCUGUCCCCUUUAUUUACUCACUUCCUUAGUGCCUUGUCCUGUCAAGUGACUGAUCAUCUUUUGAAUUACCAAAGAGCAACUGAGUUGCAUUAAAAUGAAUAUUUGUGGUGAAAAUGUUAACUUGAAAGCAUCUGCUGUGAUAGCACAUAAAAUAAAAUCAAUAUACUUUCAGAUUUCAUCACGUCCUUGAAUUUGCUGUGGUUUUCCAGUAAACAAAGGCUGCAGCUCAGCCACUGGACUGAGACUGGGAAGCUCUAACCUGGACAGCUCAGAGACCCAAUAUGUCGCAUGGCAUUGGCACAGAGUGGGUUGCACUGAAGCCACCUGCACUCAAUGUUACCUCAGCAGCUUUGGACUCUUAAGAAGAGAAGGCAGUUAAAAGUGGAACAAAAAGUUGGUUUAAAAUAUCUGGGUCAGGCUGGGUAGGUCUUAGCAGUGCCUUCUUUAGGAUAGCCUACUGAAGAACCAUAGUGCCGCAGCUCUCUGGAGGGAGGAAGAUCUCCCUCCUGUUGGACAGCUCUGCUUGAUGUGUGCCAGAUUGUUCAGCUUGUUUGCACUCCUUCCAGGCCUUGGAAAACCAGCAUCCAUCUGUCUUUUUGCAUUCAUUUUCCAAAACAAGAAUGACAUCUGUAUCCUUUAUGCCAUUUUCACUGUUCCAGUAGCAUAAAUGUACAUUGCAGUUAAGAAAUGCAAUAUGAAACCCUCUAUAUCCUGAAUAAAUGCUGUGUGAAUCAGGACAAAAGAAUAAUUUGAGACAAAAGAUAAAAAGACGCUUUAUUGAUGAGCAGAAUCUUAGGUCAAAGUAGCGGCUUAAAAAGAGGCUUUGAAAGAUGGGAAUUGAUCACACACAGCAUGGUCAGCAGUGUCCUUCCUGCAGAGUGCUGGAUGAAGAAGUGAGUCCAAGAAAGUACAAAGUCUAAGGACUCAGAAAGGAGCUGUGAUGAUAACAGAAGUGAGGAUGGAGUUACACUGAUUCUUUACAAUGGAUACAAAGAAAGGUUUGACCUUCAGAAAAAAACACCCAAGUAGCCAUCAAAUGAAGGAGGGGGAAACAAAGUUGAGUUUAACUUUAGCAUAGUUUAGAUGGGAGAUGGAACUGAACAGGAACAAUGAUUUGCAUGUCAUUGAUGCUCCACGAGAUGAUGUGCCAGACAGGGCAAAAGUCUGUAAAUGUAAACCUUCAUCUCAUCUGCUCUGCCACAGUGCUUUUGUAUAAUUCUGGAAAGACUCUCGUUCUCCACAUGCUUCUGCCUUCUCCCUGUCUCCUGUGACAAAGGUAAUAAAUUCCUGAGAGUAGGAAUGAAAGAUGUGGAUACAUGCUUCAAAGCUUCUGAAGAACUCAGACACAGUAAUAUAUUCUCCACUUCUAAAAUUCCUGUACUCAUUUCUAAAUGAGCUAAUUGGAGUUAAGGCAUCACUCAUGUAAGCUGAGUGCAAAAUAGGUGCUCACUCUAGAUGUGCAGCUCCAUAAAGACAAGAAGCUUAAUUUCAAAGGCUAAGCUAUGACCAGCUGAUAAUUACACCUGGGGAAAGAGCAGCUACUAUUGUUAAAGAUUCUGUUCUGUUGCUAUGGAAACCUCUAUGGUAUGAAGAGUCUUAUAUGUGAAUGGUAUAGAUGAAGAAAUGCAGAAAAACAUUUUGUUAUGCAAGAUCAAGAACACAUGGUCUUUCUUUUUGUGCUUGUGGAAAACAGGAAAUACAUUUUCAGUGAUGCAUGAAAUUAUAUUAAAUAUUUUGUUACUGGAACAUUUGGUCUCAAGUGCUACCUCUUCUGAGUUCUGAGAGAAGAUAAUGCCAUCUUCACUUGACUGCAGGCAAUAUCCCUUAAUUUUCUCUCAGGGACCCUUGAAAGACCUUUAAAAUACAAAAUAUUCACUCCCUCUGCUCAGUGUUUAUAAAUUAUUUAAAUGACCUGAGGAAAAAUGCAUUUUAAGCCACCUCUGUGCUGUCAGGUGCCAGGACAGGAGCUCAACCAGAGAAAAAUGCACACAAGAGAGUUUGUAUUUCCCAAGUGAUUUUUAAAACUGCCUAAAAUGGUCCCAGGGCAAUUUCAAGUUCUGGGUCCAUAUGCUGAUGAACAUGCUGAUGAUGACCAUGGUGGGAAGACAGCUAAGCAAGCACCACUAACCAAAAUGUUUUAACUCCUCCAGUUAUUGCCCUACUUAAAACCCUGCAUGAGGGGUGAGGCAAUCUGACAUUUCUCCCCAAUUUCAGCCCUCAUCCACACAUGAAACCAACUCCAGAUUAUACAUGCUCAGACCAAACCCUCCUAAGCUCAGAUCUUCAAGGAGAAAUCUGUGGUAGUGAAAUGUCCAGGCUGUAAUUCAGCUAGAAAUCAUGCAACUUCCCAAGUAGACAACCUGACUAUUUUCCUUUACAGAGAUUUUCAUUAUGCUUUGCAUUAGAUCUGCAGUGAUUUCUAGCCUUCUGCCCCUAGGUGACCUGCAGCAGAGCUCAGACUGUGCUUCAGUCCAUCUUUCCAGAUGUCAGUGUGUCUGAGCCAUUGCAGGAGGCAAGUGCUUUCUCACAGUCGUUAACAUCUGAGUUAAAAUUUCCACCACAAUAUCAGCUGGGCUGUAAAAUCAAACUGUGUAUGCUUCAGCCAUGAAAUGGGUUAGCUGAAAUCACCUAAGUUUUUUUCUGUCAA